rnacentral:rRNA from 1 species
UACGAAGGGGGCUAGCGUUGCUCGGAAUCACUGGGCGUAAAGCGCACGUAGGCGGAUUGCUAAGUCAGGGGUGAAAUCCUGGAGCUCAACUCCAGAACUGCCUUUGAUACUGGCGACCUUGAGUCCGGGAGAGGUGAGUGGAACUGCGAGUGUAGAGGUGAAAUUCGUAGAUAUUAGGAAGAACACCCAUGGCGAAGGCAGCAUACUGGCCGGCAUCUGACGCUGAGGCGCGAAAGCGUGGGUAGCAAACAGG